rnacentral:tRNA from 1 species
UCCCCGCUAGCUCAGUCGGUAGAGCGCCGGACUGUUAAUCCGUAGGUCCCUGGUUCGAGCCCAGGUCGGGGAGCCA